rnacentral:lncRNA from 1 species
AUCUUGCCUGAGAUCCCGCUUGGAAGAAGAACAACUCGGUGAAGCAGACGAACCAACAUAGUCGAACGGGUCCUCACAUUCUGACACGCUUGCGGAACUCUAUCGAGACAAAGCAAACCGGAAACAAACAUCAACACAGAUAUUCACCACGGCAAAUGCGAGACAUGAUGCACACCCUAAUAUGAUGCAUGAUCAGUUCAUUGAUGCAAGGCAUGGCAUGGCAAAUCACCUCACGCAAACACUACACAUCAAGUGAAGCUCGAUAUGCAACGAGUCGCAUAUCGAUGAAACUCCACGCUUAAUUAUUUAAUUCACUCCCGUUUAAUUACACGACAAUAUUAAAUUGUUGUUAACAAGGCAAGGGGUGAAGCGAUGAUCCUACCUGUCAUCCUAGUCGGUUAACACGUGGAGCAUAGAACGGACGCUACGACACAAGAGACAUGCAACACACGAUAUAUCAUGCCAUGAAUGCGU